AGCCCGGCGCGCUCGGCUCGAGAGGCUCCUUCCUCCGGCGUGGUUGCUGAGUGCCCGGCGCUGCUAGGCUCUUUAACUGCCAGGUGGCAGCCAUGAAUGAAUGGAUGAAGAAAGGCCCCUUAGAAUGGCAAGAGUACACUUAUAAAGAAGUCAGAGUGACAGCCAGUGACAAGGAGUAUAAAGGAUGGGUUUUAACCACAGACCCAGUCUCUGCGAAUGUUGUCCUCGUGAACAUCCUUGAAGAUGGCAGUAUGUCUGUGACCGGGAUUAUGGGACAUGCUGUGCAGACUGUUGACAUUGUGAAUGAAGGGGACCAUACCGUGAGAGAGAAGCUGAUGAAUUUGUUCAUGUGUGGAGACUGCAAGGCAUACAGCCCUGAGGAUCUGGAAAAGAGAAAGAACAGCCUAAAGAAAUGGCUGGAGAAGAACCAUAUCCCCAUCACUGAACAGGGGGAUUCACAAAAGACUCUCUGUGUGGCUGGGGUCUUGACUAUCGACCCACCAUAUGGUUCAGAAAAUUGCAACAGUUCUAAUGAGAUUAUUUUGUCCCGUGUUCAGGAUCUUAUUCAGGGACAUCUUACAGCUUCCCAGUGAGAGGCCAAGAACUGCGGAUACACUGACUGAAGCAAGACUUCAUUUUUUUGAUUCAUAAAACAUUUUGAAUGUUAAUUCUGUCAUAUUACAGGACUUUAAAGGCACACAAGUAUGUGUGUACAAGUUUUAACUUUGUUGUUUUUGGUAAAAUCAAAGAAGUGGAUUAUGAGUGCUAAUAAGUGAACUGGGCAAGGAUCACAUCACAAGAAAACAAAACAAUGGACAUCAGAAUUACAAGUCUUGAUAGGGCUACCCCUCCAUUUUUGUUAGGCAAGAAAUGUAUUUGGAAAGGAUGCAACAUGCAUUAGAUUCAAUAUAAAAUGCUUAGGGAAAAUCAGUCUUGUUAAGUCCCUUGCACUAAUUAGAUAUGUCUGUUUUAAAAUGUUUACUUUUUAUUUUUUUGGUGUAGUGAUGAAAUAGUUCUUGAAACAGAGUAUAUACUUCUUUUGUUGUAACUUGAAAGUUUUGAUUAUUGGUAAAAUCUUAACACAGAAGCCUUACAACUUUCAAAGCCUUAGAAGUGAGCACUGACUAAUGUCUCCAGAGGAAGAAUGUCAGUGUGACAGACUUGCUACUGCUGAGCUCAACCCAGUUCUUUUGCCUGGUGGGUUCAGCCCAGGCUUCCGGGUCACGGAGCUUUCUGCCUUCAGUCUCCACUCCCUGGGUCAGGCUUCACUGAGGGGAGAGAAUGCAGGAAGUACGCUUCACUACACCUGAUCCUACCCCUUGGAAGCCGGUUGGGGAGGUUUCUGGCUUACAGAGGCACCUCAGAUUGUUCGUUUGGGGGUCUGUGUGGUCGGGCCACUCAAGAAGGCUGUUCUCUUGCUCUUUGUACACCCCUGCUCGACCAGUUCUGGGUUCACCUACGCGCUACUCACAUGAACGUUCUCAUCCCUCCGCCCUCGGCCCAUUAGGCCAGAUCGGCUCCACCUGCUAGUUUAUUAAAACGAAACAUCUGCCCUCGUGAUGGUCAUUAACCUGAGGUGCUGUGAGGCUGGUUUCCCUGGUAACUGAUGAGCCAACCUGAUGCCAAUUCCCCCUAUAAAUAGUAGCUCCCCCCCACCCCCCCAGGUAGCUGCCAUGUUUUGCUCUCUUGCACCAGGUGGUGUUUUGCUCCAAGACCUUGCUUCAGACGUGUAAGAUCCCCUGUCUGUUGGAGCGGAGGGAAUCUGUUCGCAGACUGGGCGACAACAGUGGCCUCAUUGUGAAUGAGUUGAUGGCUGGGUCUGCAGCGAGAUGCCAUUGUCGUCCUCCUCUGGACUUCCGUGCAAAACUGACCCGAUAAGCACCUGGCUCCAAAGGUUGCUCGCCUCUUGCACUCUUGAUACUUUUAAACUGCUGUUUGUUGUCUGUAUUGCACUUGUGGUAUUUGGGUUGCAGUGCACCUCUGCAUACCUGACCCCAGGGACAUCGCGAAAGAGGGAUGGACCAGGAUUAUGAGUUGUGCAGAGUGUAGGAUCGUGUGGGGUGUGUAGGGGUGGAGUGUAGGUCAGAGCACUUAAGAUGGCCGUUCUCUUGCUCUUUGUACACCCCUUGCCGAGCAGCCCCUGCUUCACUGACACCUCGCUCACAUGAACGCACUCACCCCCUGCCCUGGCCAGUGAUGGUUCUAAUCCUUACGCCAGAGCGGCUCCACCUACCAGUUUAUUAAAGGGCAGCAUCUGUCCUCAUGAUGGUCGUUAACUUGAGGGGCUGUGAGGGACGUGCCUCUUGCCUCAGCUGCUGGUUUCCCUGGUAACUGAUGAGCCAAUCUGGUGUCAAUUCCCCCUAUAAAUUGUAGCCUCCUCCCCUGGGUAGUGGAGGCUGCUCCUAUGUCCUGCUCGCUGUCUGCCACACACAUGGUGGGGUGUUGCUCCAGGGCCUUGCUUCAGAUGUGUAAGAUCCCCCAUCUUUUAAAUCAUUGAUGUCUCUGUCGCUGUUUCUGGGCUCUUUUCUUUGAACUUGAAGCUGAGCAACUACAAGGCUUGCAGGCCUGAAGGGUUCAGCCCAACAAGGUCUUUUCAGGGGCACAUCUACACUGACCCCAGGGUUCCCACAUCAGAUUAGAACCCCUUACUCCCUAGAACAGGGGUUAGCAAACUUCAGGCCCUUGGAACAAGUCCAGCCUGCUGCCUCCAUGUAUUAAAGUUUUAUUGGAACACAUCUGUACCCCCUGGUUUGUAUAUCAUCUGUGGCUGCUUUUGAGCCAUAAUGGCACAGUUGAGUAUUGACAGGAACUAUGUGGUUUAUAUUCUCUACAGAGAAAUAUGGCCCUUUACAGUAAAGUUUGCCCUAGGAGCUCCUUGAGCUAGCCUGGGCCACAAGGGGUCAGGGUGGACUUCCCAACGCAGGUGUGACCUGUGUAUUUCCCUUCUCAUCCAUACAAAAAGAAUUCUUGUACCUUUUGGGAGAAAUGUUUUAAAAUAUUCAAGUUUUAGAGGGUCUUUGAAAGCAGUUUGAUAACGUAGCUAAGUUACUUCCCUGCACAGUUGUCUAGUAACAGGAUGUAGCCCAGUGCUUCUCACAAUUUCACAAACAUCAGAAUCAGCUGGAGAGCUUGUUAACACAAAUUGGGAGUAGGGCCCAGCAAUGUACUGUGAUUCAGUCAGGGGCCAGGAACUUGCAUUUAUAACAAAAUCCCAAAUAAUGGUAAUGCUGCCUGUCCUGGAUCACACUUGCAAAAGUAGUUUAAAACUUUGGGGAACAGAAAGUCCUUCCUUCACAACUUGAGUUUCAUGAUCCUGAAAGUAAAAUUUAGUCCGUAGCCUUUCUCCUUGAGACUAAGACUCCCCUUCAAAGCCCUGCAUGGCUUCAGACAGCAAAUAGGGGAAGGGGAAUAAGAGUAAAUUAGGUGGAAAUGAUUCCGACAAAAUGAGGGAGGCCUUGAGAGGAGGGAAGAUCUGUAGCAAAUUAUCCAUGGCAUCAGUCAGGAUUGAUCCCUUGGCCCAGGGACAGGUGCGUUGGUGUUGGUAGAUUUAUUUGCUGUCAGACUAAUGAGCCGGGGAUGGACUUUCUUGACAAUAGGUCCUCUGAUUGUUUAAACAAUUUGCCUUGCGAAUAAAACCUGAGUGCUAAAGAGUCCAUGACCUGGCUCUGCCAUGGAAACCAGCCUGCUUAGGACGCUGGGCCCGCCAGUUCCUCAGCUAAGAUUCUCCCCAGGAGUUUAACCCACCUGUUUCUGAUCCCUCCUGUGGUUCCAGAUUCCUGGAGGGAGAUCUUUCCUCAAAGCUGGCUCUGCUCCCUGCCAGCUGGAGGUGGUAGCCAGGGCACUCUUUGAUCACAGUUGGUGUCAAAAAUACUUGUCAGAACAAAAGGUCGUUAUGACGUAUUUUUUGAUCCCCUUGGAGCAAAGUUGCCAAUUUUUUGUGUUACAUCUUGCUAUCCCAUUGUUCACAUGCUUUCCUAGAUCUCUCCUCUUUCUCCUAAAGAUGUUAAGGCUGAAAUAGAUUUUUUCCAUUUUUUUUUCAAUAAAAUUAUUAAUGAAAAUUUAAAACCUUGACAAUUUUUUAAAUUGAAGUAUAGUCAGUUACAAUGUGUCAAUUUCUGGUGUACAGCACAAUGUCCCAGUCAUACAUACAUAUAUUCAUUUUCAUAUUCUUUUUCAUUAAAGGUUAUUACAAGAUAUUGAAUAUAGUUCCCUGUGCUGUACAGAAGAAAUUUGUUCUUUUAAUCUGUUUUUAUAUAUAGUGCCUAACAUUUGCAAAUCUCAAACUCCCAAAUUUAUCCCUUCCCACCUCUCUCUCCCCAGUAACCGUAAGAUUGUUUACUAUGUCUGCGAGUCUGUUUCUGUUUUAUACAUGAGUUCAUUGGUGUUCUCUUUUUUUUUAGAUUCUACAUAUGAGUGAUAUCAUGUGGUAUUUUUCUUUCUCUUUCUGGCUUACUUCACUUAGAAUGAUGAUGUCUAGCUCCAUCCAUGUUGCUGCAAAUGGCAUUAUUUUAUUCUUUUUUUAUGGCUGAGUAGUAUUCCAUUAUAUAAAUAUACCACAAAUUCUUUAUCCAGUCAUCUGUCAAUGGACAUUUAGGUUGCUUCCAUGUCUUGGCUAUUUGUAUAUAGUGCUGCUGUGAACAUUGGGGUGCAUGUAUCUUUUUGCAUUAGAGUUCCUUCUGGGUAUGUGCCCAGGGGUAGGAUUGCUGGAUCAUAUGGUAAAUCUAUUUUUAGUCCUUUGAGAAACUCCAUACUGUUUUCCAUAAUGGCUGCACCAAACUACAUUCCCAUUAGCAAUGUAGGAGGGUUCCCUUUUCUCCACUCCCUCUUCAGCAUUUAUUGUUCAUGGACUUUUUAAUGAUAGCCAUUCUGACUGGUGUGAGGUGAUACCUCAUUGUAGUUUUGAUGUGCAUUUCCUCUGAUAAUUAGAGAUAUUGAGCAUUUUUUCAUGUGCCUAUUGGCCAUUCGAAUGUCUUCAUUGGAGAAUUGCUUGUUCAGUCUUCUGCCCAUUUUUGGAUUGGGUUGUUUGUUUUUUUUGUUAUUCAGUUGUACGAGCUGUUUAUAUAUUCCGGAAAUUAAACCUUUGUCAGUUGCAUCACUUGCAAAUAUUUUCUCCCAUUCCGUAGGUUGUCAUUUUGUUUUACUUAUGGUUCCCUUUGCUGUGCAAAAGCUUAUAAGUUUAAUUAGGUCUCAUUUGUUAAUUUUUGCUUUUAUUUCUAUUGCCCUAGGAGAACAUUGCUAAGAUUUAUGUCAGAGAAUGUUUGCCAAUGUUUUCUUCUAGGAGGUUUAUCAUGUCUUGUCUUAUAUUUAAGUCUUUAAGCAUUUUGAGUCUUUAAGCCAUUUUGAGUUUAUUUUGUGUAUGGUAUGAGGGAGUGUUCUAACUUCAUUGAUUUAUAUGCUGCUGUUCAGUUUUCCAAACACCACUUGUUGAAGAGCAUGUAAAACCUUGACAAUUGUUUUAUUUGAGAACUGGUGGAAUUUUCAUGAUGCUGCUUGAAAUAGAUUUCUAGAAUGUUAGGGUCGAGGCUAAGGAUUACUAUAAUUUUGGGAGAAAUCAGAGCAGUGAAGGUCUAUAAUUACACAUAAUUAAUUGUUUCUACUGACAAAUAUGAUUUUUCUUAAACCACUUUACUGAGAUAUGAAUAACAUACAAAAAACUACAUACUUAGUGUAUAUAACAUGAUGAGUUUGGAGAUAAGUAUACACUCAUGAAACCAUCACUACAAUCUAUGCCUAAACAUAACCAUCACCUCCAACAGUUUUUCCUGCCUUCUUUAUUAAUGCUAUCAUAGAUAACAGUGCAAAGAUUAUCUUCAUGAAUAUGUCUUUAUUGCUACUAUUAAACUAAAGUGUAUAGAAAUGAAAGUACUAUGUCAAAGAGUAUGAACACAUGUUGGUUUUUCCCUUUUUAAGUAGUUUGUGCUGCUUUACAUUGACAAGAGUAAUAAAUGUAUGCUAAUUUCAUCACACCCUUAGAGUAUUACUGUUUUGUUUAAAUUUUAUGACUGAAUAUAAAAUGGUGUUUUAAAAUUUGAUUUAAUUUGUAUUUAUUAGCAUUUCCCCAUGUGUCUUUAUUCCCAGUAUGGGAACUGUUUGAUUCAUAUCUUCAUUUAAAAAAAUCUUCAUUUUUUAAAGAAGUUAUUUUCUCCAUAUUCCCAUCAUGUCAUAUCUGUUUAUGUUUCUAAAUUUUACUCAUGUGGAUUUAUGUAAGUAAGCAACUAGUGAUACAUGCAUUUCUUCUAACUUUGACAUAAUUUCAGAUUUACAGAAAAUUUGCAUAAACAGGACAAAGAAUUGCCAUAUAUCCUUUAUCCAGCAAGUGUUAACAUUUACCACACUUGUAUUUUCUGUGCAUGUGUAUGUGUGUUCAUUUUUCUCCCUGAACUGUUUGAGAAUAAAUCAUGGACACAAUGGAAA